rnacentral:rRNA from 1 species
AUUGAACGCUGGCGGCAUGCCUUACACAUGCAAGUCGAACGGCAGCACGGGUGCUUGCACCUGGUGGCGAGUGGCGAACGGGUGAGUAAUACAUCGGAACAUGUCCUGUAGUGGGGGAUAGCCCGGCGAAAGCCGGAUUAAUACCGCAUACGAUCCACGGAUGAAAGCGGGGGACCUUCGGGCCUCGCGCUAUCGGGUUGGCCGAUGGCUGAUUAGCUAGUUGGUGGGGUAAAGGCCUACCAAGGCGACGAUCAGUAGCUGGUCUGAGAGGACGACCAGCCACACUGGGACUGAGACACGGCCCAGACUCCUACGGGAGGCAGCAGUGGGGAAUUUUGGACAAAGGGCGAAAGCCUGAUCCAGCAAUGCCGCGUGUGUGAAGAAGGCCUUCGGGUUGUAAAGCACUUUUGUCCGGAAAGAAAUCCUUGGCUCUAAUACAGUCGGGGGAUGACGGUACCGGAAGAAUAAGCACCGGCUAACUACGUG